rnacentral:lncRNA from 1 species
ACCAAAUCAACACUUAAUCCCGACAUGUCAUCAUAUGACCAAGCAAAUACAUCUUUGAACUCAAACAGGAGUUGGAUCAAUGCGCCCCGAGUUUUAUCAUUUGCGUGAAUGAUUAUUUUGGUUUUCCUGAUUUUUUUGGAACUAUCCAAGUUAAUCGGCUCAGUGUCAUGUAGGUUUGGAUUAGGUUUAUUUCCGAAAUGUUCCAGUUCUCGAUUUAUUUCUCUAAAAGCCUCUUCUUCGUCAUAUUUCGGUUUUUGGUUCAUUAUUUCACAACUAGACGGCAUGUUUGGAUCUGGG